UAAUUUAUCUAAAAGACUAAUUGUUAUUGAAAUGAAAUUGGGUUUGAAUAGAGUGGAAUAGAUAGAUAAGAUUUGUAUAGCUGAUUCGAAUUAGUUUGGAAUUGGGUUGUAGUUUAAUUGAUAUUAUGAUUGAUAAUUGUAUGGGUCAAAACUCGACUCGUGAUAAUUAAUAAGAUUAAUUUACUCAUAGGCAUAUUCAGGUUGAUUAAGGACACAACCAUUCGUUAAUAAUAAGUGCUCAAAGAUCGCUCAGCCCAAUCAGCGAGGCUACGACCUACUCGCUAUUGACGGACGUCCCCUCAACAUGGCCGUGUCUGCCUAAUGCUAGCUGGCAAGAUUCACUGCUAUAAAUACUAAGAGAAGUAACUUAGUAGGGGACUGCUUUUUCUUCUUCACCUCUACUUUCGAAAGAAGAGAGAAACCAUUGUAAGGCUCUGAACCUCUCCAUGGAGAGGCAGACCAAAUCGAUACCUUUAAUAAAAGAUCUUUUACCCUCAUCUCUUUAACAAAUAACAAAUGUCUUUUGUAUCUCAUUAAUUUGGUCUUUUGGUUUUUUACGAUCUGCUAUGAUUUGCCCUCCAUUGAUUUUAGUUAUUUUAUGCUUAUAUACAACUGUCUCUUGCAUUUAUUCAUUUGGUCUUUUGGUUUAUUACGAUCUGCUAUGAUUGAUCCUCCAUUGAUUUUAGUUAUUUUAUGCUUAUAGAGUGUAUGAAAACUUUGAGCUAAACAAUUUGACGCCGUCUGUGGGGAUUUCAUAGCAGAAUCACGUAGUUCAUCCUCAGACCGAAAAGGAAAGAAGACACCCAAAAGGGGAAGCAACCCAGCGGGUGAAGGGAACUCAAAAGCUCCGGCAAGAGUCCAAAGCCCUAACCCCCAUUCUCGAGAAAAAGAAGGAAUAAGAAGAGAAAGUAGAUACCCCCUCCCUACGGGGAGAACACGGGCGAGGGACCCUCAUCCCCUCGAUACGAGACCCUGCCGGAAAGUGGCACGAAGACAUCUUGAACCAAGAUCCAUAACAGAAUCAGGUGAAAACAGGUCAGACGAAAAGCCAAAAGUUCAACUAUGAGUUGAACUGGGACUCAUGCUAUGUGCCUUUGACAACAAAAUUGCAAAGGUGUAACUACGACUGAACAACAGCUCAGGCUACGUGCCCUCGCCCAAAAGUUCAACGCCUUUGACAACAAAAUUGCAAAGGUUCGACUACGGUUGAACAACAUCUCAGGCUACGUGCCUGAUAACAACUAGGUCGGGAAUCCAAACUAGAGUAAGAAUUUGAGAAGUAAAUGCGGAAGCAAUAACAAUAAGGAAUUGAACAACUAGGAUUUAAUAGAUGAAAAUAAAGGAUAUGGGAAAAUUCAGGGAAAGAAUUCCUAGAACUACUUCAAAGAACGCAUGUUCUAUAGCCUUGACAAGAUCAAAGUAACAACGUCUUAAUUUAUGGAAGAAAUCAAACGCCUUUACUUAAAAAGAAAAUCAAAACAAUAGAUUCGGAUCUUGACCGCUUUACGAGUAACUUGAGACGACAAUUAAUAACUAGUAUUAAUCGCCUUCUAAGAAUAUCACAAAGGAAUCAAAGAUAUCAUAAAAGAGAAGAAAUCUUACUACCUCGAACUAUGAACUAGUAAAGGUUGAAAGAUAAAUCUCAAAGCACAAUUAACAAAGGUUCAAAAGAACUCUCAAAGUAUGAUAUAAUUAAUCAAUAAUAUUGUGUCUUAUGAAUAAGAAGACUCCCUAUUUAUAGGAGAGUACUAAGGCAUAAAAGUCCUUAAAAUUAGGGAGGGAGAUUGCUAAGGCAUCCAAAGUCAUUACAAUUAGGUAGGAUGAUUGCUAAGACAUCCAAAGUCAUUAAAAUUAGGUAGGAUGAUUGUUAAGGUAUCCAAAGUCAUUACAAUUAGGUAGAGGGCGGCCAAGACCCUUUGGGGCAUAUUUGGGCCUUAAAACAACUAUUUUGGGCAAUUGGUUUGGAAAUUAGGUAGGGGAGGACAAGACCCUUUGGGGCUUAUUUUGGCCUUAAAACAACUAUUUUGGGCGAUUGGUUUAGACUCCAAUUGUGCUCCUUUUGUAACACUUCAUUUUGGACCUCUUUUAAGCUCAUUUUGAGCCCAUUUGGUGGACUUCAAGGGCCGAUUUGGGUGAUCCGAUACUCCUUUUCUUGGACUACAACUUGAGCCACCAAACAAUUGUAAAACUUAAACAAUUCUUCUCCUUUGGGCUUGAGCACUUCGUCUAGAGUUAGCAGCUUCUUUAUUUUCCAUUGAAGUCCAGCAACCUUCAUCUGCAAUUUUUUAGCUUAAGAUCUUGUAAAUGGCCUUCUUGGAGCUUCCAAAACUCUAUCCUUAUCAGUGAUGCUAUCAUUCCCCUCUUCUUGAAAAGAAUUCAUCCGCGAAUUUGAUCCUACGUCAAACAAAGACAAGGCAGCAACAUUGAAUGUCACACUCACUUGAAACUCACAAGGAAGGUCCAGCUUGUAAGCAUUAUCUCCAAUCCUUUCAAGGACUUGAAAGGGGCCAUCUCCUCUAGGAUGCAGCUUUGACUUCCUUUUGGAAGGAAAUCUCUCCUUUCUAAUGUGAACCCAAACUAAAUCUCCAGGUUUAAUUAUAACUUGUUUUCGACCAUUAUUCUUUCUCAAGGCAGUUUCCUCAUUUUUCUUCUCAAUUGUAAGCCUUGUUUGCUCGUGAAUUUUUUUUAUCAUCUCAGCCUUUGUUCUACCAUCAAGAUUAGCAAUAUUAUUAGUUGGUAAUGGUAAUAAAUUAGCUUUUGUUCUACCAUCAAGAUUAGCAAUAUUAUUAGUUGGUAAUGGUACUAAAUCAAGUGGAGCAAAGGUAUUAAAGCCAUAAAACCCCUCAAAAGGUGACAUACUUAUAGAAGAAUGGAUUGUUCUAUUGUAAGCAAAUUCAAUCAUAGGUAAGUGAUCUUCCCAUGAAGUUAACUUACCUUUCAAAACAACCCUCAACAUGUUUCCUAAGGUUGUAUUAACUACUUCAGUUUUUCCAUCAGUUUGUGGGUGACAAGAAGUAGAAAACAACAAUUUAGUGCUUAACUUCCCCCAAAAUGAGCAUCCCUAUCACUAACUAUAGUUCUAGGUAUACCAUGCAAUUUGACAACCUUUUUUACAAAAAGAUUAGCAACAUGUGAAGUAUCAUUAGUCUUUAAACAAGGAAUAAAAUGUGCCAUUUUGGAGAACCUAUCUACCACAACAAAUAUACUAUCCUUACCAUACCUUGUUCUAGAAAACCCUAACACAAAAUCCAUAGAAAUAUCAAUCCAAGGUGAAGUAGGAAUAGGUAAUGGUGUGUAAAGACCAUGUGGUAAUACUUUAGAUUUAGCUUGUUUACAUUCCAAACACUGUGUGCAUAUUCUUUCAACAUCUUUUCUCAUUCCAGGCCAAAAGAAAUUUUCAGCAAGUAUGUCUAAUGUCUUUGGAACUCCAAAGUGCCCCAUAAGGCCUCCACAAUGUGCUUCCCUUACAAAUAUUUCACGCAAAGAGCAAUUAGGGAUGCACAACUUAUUUUCCUUAAACAGAAACCCAUCUUGGAGGUUAACCUCUCAAAAGGACUCAACUUACAAUCUGCAAAAAUUUUGCCAAAGUCAACAUCAUUAGCAUAAAGUCCCUUGAUUUGAUCAGAACCCAUCAAUUUAGAAGUCAUGGUAGAAACUAAGACAUACCUUCUUGAAAUUGCAUCAGCAACAUUCUCUUUCCCUUGUUUGUAAGAAAUUACAUAAGGGAAAGUUUCAAUAAAUUCAACCCAUUUAGCAUUCCUUCUACUAAGCUUACCUUGGCUCUUCAAGUAUUUUAAGGAUUCAUGGUCAGUCUUACCAACCCACUUAGCAUGCAUUCUAUUAAGCUUACCUUGACUCUUCAAGUAUUUUAAGGAUUCAUGGUCAGUCGUAUUCACAAACUCUCUUGGCCACAAGUAAUGUUGCCAUGUGGCUAAAGUCCUUACCAAAACAUAUAGCUUUUUGUCAUAAGUAGAAUAGUUCAAUGUGGCUCCACUCAACUUCUCACUAAAGUAGGCAAUAAGUUUAGAAUCUUGCAUCAAAACAACACAUAUUCCUUUGCUAGAGGUAUCACAUUCAACUUCAAAAGAUUUAGAAAUAUCAGGCAAUUAUAACAAUGGAGCAGAACAUAACUUUUCUUUCAACAAGUUAAAAGCAUCGUCUUGUUCUUUUUCCUAUUUAAAAAUCUUAUCCUUUUUAAUAACUUCCGUUAAAGGAGAAGCAAUGGUGCUAAAGUCUCUCACAAACCUACUAUAAAAACUAGCAAGCCCAUGAAAACUCCUAAUUUCAGUUACACUCUUGAGUUUAGGCCAUUCCUUUAUUGCUUUGAUUUUAUCUUCAUCAACCUCAACUCCUUUAGAACUAACUACAAAACCCAAGAAAAUCACACGAUCCACACAAAAAGAACACUUUUUAAGAUUAGCAAAUAAAACUUGCUUUCUAAGAACUUCAAAAACUUGUUUUAGGUGUUCUACAUGCUCCUCUAAAGUGUUAAAAAAGAUCAAGAUAUCAUCAAAGUACACUACAACAAAUUUCCCAUGAAAAUCCUUAAAGAUAUGAAAGUGCUAGGUGCAUUAGUCAAGCCAAAAGGCAUAACUAACCAUUCAUAAAACCCAUAUUUGGUCUUAAAAGCAGUUUUCCAUUCAUCUCCAGGAUUCAUUCGAAUCUAAUGGUAACCACUUUUUAGAUCAAAUUUAGAAAAGAUCUUGGAUCCAUGUAAUUGAUCCAACAUGUCAUCAAGACGAGGAAUAGGAAGGCGAUACUUUAUCGUUAGCUUGUUGAUUGCUCUGCAAUCCACAUACAUCCUCCAAGUUCCAUCCUUUUUGGGUACCAAUAGGACGGGAACCGAGCAUGGGCUCAUGCUCUCUCUCACAAAGCCUUUCUGAAGCAACUCCUCAACUUGCCUUUGAAGCUCUUUUGUCUCUUCUGGAUUACUCCUAUAAGCAUGCCUAUUUGGGAUUUGUGAUCCAGGCACAAAAUCAUUUUGAUGCUCAAUGCCACGUAAAGGUAGUAAUCUAUUAGGAAUAUCUUCAGGAAAGACAUCUUCAAAAUCCUGCAAAAGAGAAGAAAUACUACUUGGCAAAGAAUUAGUAACUCAGAAUUAAUCAAAGCUUGUAAGUAAGUAGUAUUACGGGCAACCCUUCUUUUCUCGCAUUUAACCACUCUUUGGCUUUUAUAUAGAAACUCUUUUUUUUUCUUUCUUUAGCCUCUUUCCACUCACCAAGACCUUCUUUUUUCACUCAAACCCCUUUUUAUCUCUUCUCUCAAAUUGCUACUCUCUCUCUUUCUCUCGGCCAUCACUCUUUUUUUUCUAAUUCUUGGCCACCUUUCUUUUCUUUUUAUAAGUUUACUUUUUAUCUCUUCCCUUGGUUUUCCCAUUGUUUCCCUCAAUCUCUUUUGAUCUUGAAACACUUGAGAAGGAGAUAAAGGUGCAAGAGUAAAUUUCCUGCCAUUUAGUUCAAGAGAAUAUCUAUUCUUUUUUUCAUCAUAAAAAACAUUCAUGUCAUACUGCCAAGGACGGCCGAGUAAUAUAUGACAAGCUUGCAUAGGUACUCUGUCAUAUUGCCAAGGACGACCGAGUAAUAUAUGACAGGCUUGCAUAGGUACUAUGUCACAAAGAAUUCAUCCUCAUAUCUACCAAUAUUAAAUGAAAUCAUGCAUUGUUUGUUCACCUUUAGUUCACCACUAUCAUUUAACCGUUGGAGUCUAUAGGGAGUAGGGUGUUUCUUGCAUGCAAGUCCCAGUUUUUCCACAAAGUAUGAACUCACCACAUUAGCACAACUACCACUAUNNNNNNNNNNNNNNNNNNNNNNNNNNNNNNNNNNNNNNNNNNNNNNNNNNNNNNNNNNNNNNNNNNNNNNNNNNNNNNNNNNNNNNNNNNNNNNNNNNNNNNNNNNNUAUCCCACACCUAGUAUGGAAUAUGUUCUCUCUUUGUGCUUCACUAUUGCUUCCCAAAUUGAUAGUCAUAAUCCUCCUAACUACCCCAACCAUUCCAUCAAUAGGUAGUUCUACAUCAUCUUCAUCACUCACCUCUCCCUCUUCUUCUCCCUCUUUUUUCACUCUCAUAUCCUCCAUCUUCUCUAAGAAUGAUGUUUCUUCUACUUGGACAUUCANNNNNNNNNNNNNNNNNNNNNNNNNNNNNNNNNNNNNNNNNNNNNNNNNNNNNNNNNNNNNNNNNNNNNNNNNNNNNNNNNNNNNNNNNNNNNNNNNNNNNNNNNNNNNCUUUACAUUUAUGACAUUGAAUAGAACUAGAAGGUGUAAAAGGUUUAGGGUUAAAGGUUUUACCUCCCUCUUUGUUCUCAAAUUUACCUUUACCCUUUUCUUCUUGAGGUUUAGAAGAACUCUUCAUCUCAUGAUUUGGCCAUGGCUCCUUGGCGAUGGUGCAUGUCCUACCUUUUCACAUGCUAGUCUGCUUUCUUUUAUUUUGAUUUUCUACUUUUACACACAAAUCAACUAACUCAUCUAUUGUUACAUAUUGUUGCAAUUCUACUACAUCGGCUAUUUCCUUAUUUAAACCAUUUAAAAACCUAGCCAUUGUAGCCUCUUCUUCCUCCGUACAAUUAGCUUGGAUCGUAGCUAUAUCCACAGCCUUAAAGUACUCACCACGGACAUGGACCCUUGCUUUAAUGUUUGAAGACGUUGUUGUAGCUCUCUUUGAAAGUGUGAUUGCACAAAUCUCUUCCUCAUCACCCUAUUCAUCUCAGACCAAGUAGCAACUGGUGCUUUUCCUUCUUGCAAUUUAUCCCUAGUAUGCUUUUUCCACCAAAUAGCAGCAUAGUCAGAAAACUCAACAACAGCAAGUUUAACCUUCUUACCUUCAGAGUAGUCCUUCCUGCAAUCUAUCCCUAGUAUGUUUUUUCCACCAAAUAGCAGGAUAGUCAGAAAACACAACAACAAGAAGUUUAACCUUCUUACCUUCAGAGUAGUUGUAACAGUCAAAGAUGGCUUCAAAUUUUCUCUCCCAAUCAAGAUACAAGUCUAGAUCCCUUGUUCCCUUGAAAGAUGACAUCUUCUUCUUUAUACUACUUAUAUUAUCAUCUUCUACUCUACCUCUAUGUCCCCUCCUAUCUCUUCCCACCCUAUCAAAAUCAAUAUAAUUAAAAUCAUUUUUAAAGUUUUCUUGAUUUACAAUGGGAGUGUGGGGUACAUUUCUCCUAGCUUGGGGUCUAACAUUAUUUUCCCUCCUAAGUUCAGCUAUUGUAUCAUUUUGAUCGGCAAUUGUAUCUCUCNNNNNNNNNNNNNNNNNNNNNNNNNNNNNNNNNNNNNNNNNNNNNNNNNNNNNNNNNNNNNNNNNNNNNNNNNNNNNNNNNNNCAAAUUCAACCUUUCAAAUUGUUGAUGCAUAGCUUGCAAGGUAAAAUCGUUUCUUGCUUUGAUUUCGGCUUCUUGGAGAACCCUUCGUUUAUCAUCACUACCUGUAUGCGACAUCCUUUCUAAAAAAACUAAACUGUAUCACACAAAUUAGCUUCUUUUUUUUUUUCUACCGGAAUAACCUUUGAACAAAAUACUUUGUAGAUUUAUAGUUAAACCCAACUUGUAUGAAGUUUUUAGUAGUAAAAUUCAGAUUUUUUUGGGAACUAUUGAAAGAAAAACCAAAUCCUAGAACUAUUAGACUUGGCUGAAACAAGACACGAACAAAAAGGGAGGAUAUAAAUAUGUAGAUUACAGUGAGUAAGAAAAUCUAGGAUCCCCUCUUCUUAUUUCCUUUGCUAACUUUUGGUAACAAAAUAGAUACAAAGAAUUUUUUUUUUGGAGAGCAAGCAAUUCUAUUUUUUUUUAAAAUUGAAUUUUCGUUUUUUUGUUUUUUUUAAAAUUUUUUUUUUGUUUUCUUUUCUUUGCUCUUAGUAUACAAGAAAUCCCAAGACUUACCAAGAACGAAAUCUUGAUAGAACCGCUCUGAUACCACUUGAUAAAUGCGGAAGCAAUAACAACAAGGAAUUGAACAACUAGAAUUAAAUAGAUGAAAAUAAAGGAUAUGGGAAAAUUCAGGGAAAGAAUUCCUAGAAUUUCCAAGAACGCAAAUUUUAUAGCCUUGACAAGAUCGACGUAACGUCUUAAUUUAUGGAAGAAAUCAAACGCCUUUACUUAAAAAGCAAAUCAAAAUAAUAGAUUCGGAUCUUNNNNNNNNNNNNNNNNNNNNNNNNNNNNNNNNNNNNNNNNNAAGCAAAUCAAAAUAAUAGAUUCGGAUCUUGACCGCUUUACGAGUAACUUGAGACAACAAUUAAUAACUAGUAUUAAUCGCCUUCUAAGAAUAUCACAAAGAAAUCAAAGAUAUCAUAAAAGAGAAGAUAUCUUACUACCUUGAACUAUGAACUAGUAAAGGUUGAAAGAUAAAUCUCAAAGCAUAAGUAACAAAGGCUCAAAAGAACUCUCAAAGUAUGAUAUACUUAAUCAAUAAUGUUGUAUCUUAUGAAUAAGAAGAACUCCCUAUUUAUAGGAGAGUACUAAGGCAUAAAAGUCCUUAAAAUUAGGGAGAGUGAUUGCUAAGGCAUCCAAAGUCAUUACAAUUAGGUAGGAUGAUUGCUAAGGCUUCCAAAGUCACUAAAAUUAGGUAGGAUGAUUGCUAAGUUAUGCAAAGUCAUUACAAUUAUGUAGAGGGCGACCAAGACCCUGUGGGGCAUAUUUGGGCCUUAAAACAACUAUUUUGGGCAAUUGGUUUGGACUUCAAUUGGGCUCCUUUUGUAACACUUCCUUUUGGACCUCUUUUAAGCUCAUUUUGAACCCAUUUGAUGGAUUUCAAGGGCUGAUUUGGGUGAUCCAAUCCUCCUCUUCUUGGACUGCAACUUGAGCCACCAAAUAAUUGUAAAACUUAGACAAUUCUUCUCCUUUCGUGGACUUCAAGGGCUUAUUUGGGUGAUCCAAUCCUCCUCCUCUUGGACUACAACUUGAGCCACUAAAUAAUUGUAAAACUUAGACAAUUCUUCUCUUUUGGGCUUGAGCACUUCGUCUAUAGUUAGAAACUUUUUUAUUUCCCAUUGAAGUCCAGCAACAUUCGUCUGCAAUUCUUUAGCUUGAGAUCUUGUAAAUGGCCUUCUUGGAGCUUCCAAAACUCUAUCCUUAUCAGUGAUGCUAUCGGUGCCAUCGCCCAAAAGUUCAACUAUGAGUUGAACUAGGACUCAGGCUAUGUGCCUUCGACAACAAAAUUGAAAAGGUUCAACUACGGUUGAACAACAUCUCAAGCUACGUGCCAUCGCCCAAAAGUUCAAAUAUGAGUUGAACUGGGACUCAAGGCUAUGUGCCUUCGACAACAAAAUUGCAAAGGUUCAACUGCAGUUGAACAACAACAUAGACCACACGACCUCGCACAAAAAUUCAACUACAGAGUAAACCGAGGCUCGGGCUAAGCGCCCUUAACAUUGGACGCUGCAAGACCUAUUCCCCUACUAACGAAGGGACAAGUUAAGCACCCUCGCCAAUCAAGUAAGUACGCCUAACUCGAACUAAGAUUCAGACCGCGAUAAGUUCGGCCCCAGUCGAAUUACAAGGCCACGGCCAACAAUUCGACAACGCCCGAACUGGGACUAAGGCGACACGCCUCCCUCGCAAAAUAACAGCCACAACUUACUCAUGCCAAGUAAAGGAAAUGAUAAACGAAAAGAGGUCAAUCACGGCUAAGGCCAUCGACGCAAGCAGCCCACCUAGUUUUUGACUAAGGCAAGCAAACGACCCGACAAUAGUCGGAUUCAUCCAACUGACCAAAGACCAUCAACGUCAUCAUGGCCAAGGCCACCGACGUUAUCACGACUAAAGUCGUAGGGAGAUCAACACGGCCCCCCCCUCCCCCCAGGACACUCUAAAGGCGAAACCCCCCUUGGACGAGUGAAAAAGAAAACUCGAAAAAAAAGAACAUAAAAUUGUAUAUAUAUUCACAGCCUUAUUUACAACAGGUCGCCUCCAUUUAAAUACGGCCAAGGCCAGCAAAAAAAAAAAGAGAAAGCCAAACGGCAACAAAAAAGAACAACAACAAAACAGAAUAAAAGCUAACUCUAUAAAAACCCCUUUUACUCAACGCCCCCCGCGCCACCCUCAUGGCCGCCCGCACCAUCAUUGGCGCCCUCAGCGUCAUCAUCGGUCACGGGAGUGGCUGGGUCGAAGCCACAACCAAGACGAGCUUCACGAGCCUUUUGGUGAGCCCCCUCAUAAACAGCCUCGGGCACGACGCCGGCCUGCCACAAUUUCCUGUAUACGUCAAGCUAGGCCUCAGCAAAAGACCAAAGAUCACGAGCGGGGCCGUAAGAGGCAGCCUGGUCCCCGCCGCCUCCAACGCCCCGACCUUCAUCGAAGCGUCCCUGGCUUGCCGCCUCGAAGCAGUGAGCUCCUCGUCCAGCCUGACAACCUGCCUAAUCAGGGACUUAGAGGCCUCCGCCAAAGCCUCCUGACUCCGACGCUCCUUCUCAUCUGCAGCAUUUCUCUCAGCCUCCACCUCCUCGUCCCUACGACGAAGUUGCUCCUCAAGAGCACUAACCCUGCUCUGAGCUUGCUGCACUAGAAGCUCCCGCCUCGCCAACUCCUCAACCAACUCUCGGAUGCGAGGUUGUUCCUCAGAUGCUCGCACAUCAUGCGACACCUAUCCCCGUAGCGACGAUAAUUCUCCAACACCCGCAAAAAAAGUCCCGAGCGAACGUUGGACCAUUGCAUGCUCUCUACCUCCAGAAGAAAGGUUUGUUAGACAAAAGUAGCCGGCUGCAAGGGUCGUUCCUCAGACGCUCAAGCAUCACGCGACACUUAUCCCGGUAGCUGCUAUACUUCUCCAGCACCAGCAAGAAGAGUCACGAGCGGACGUUGGCCCGGCGCAUGCUCUCUACCUCCAGAAGAAAGGUCUGCAAGACAAAAGCAGCGGUGAAGUUAGGAAACAAACCUAGGCAAGAAAAGAAACAAAAGAAGAUCACCACAUGUACCCUAAAACCCAUCACGGUCGCCUCGGUCAUCAAUCCGACGUCUGAGACGUCCCUCAGCGACCUGCUCCUCCUCCAAGCACAAGGGCUCAAACAUCGGUACCAGAUUGUCUUCCUCGAGCAGCAGAUUUUGGUCGGUAGGAAUCUCGGCAUAACGAUACAGCCCCUCUGCAUGCGCCGUCGCGUUGGUGAAGCCUUCCUGGAGCCUGCGGACGUCGUCGAACUCCAGGUCGGAUUCAGAGUCUAACUCCCCUCCCGCGACGACCCUUCCUUCCUCGACCGGCCGAGAGGUCGAAGCUUCUCCCCGUGCCAACGGGUUGAUACUUGUUUCCCUAACCAAAGCAGCCGCUGAGGAACCAACUUCCCUCUCAGCUGGGACUGAUAAUGUAGCCGCCGAAGCGACGAUUUUAUUACUGUCUAAGCCGACCGGGGCAACCCCAUUGUAUUUUCGCCUUCAAGGGCAGGCACAGCCGCCUCCUCCCCCUCAGCAUCCGAUGGCGGGGAGCCCAAAUGUACCACCUUUGUAGUAGGCGUAAAGGCGACCCUUCGCCUAACCAACAGUCUCUCCUCCUCCUCCUAACGAUGGUUCCGCCUUGGGGCGAACAACCCCGAAGACGCCUCGACCCGAGUUGUAGACCGUGCUGGGAAUGGGCCGCCGGCGACUCUGCUGAAGUCGCCCUCUGAAUAGGGCGUGGUGUCGGCGCCAUAACCAGCUGAGCAGUCGCACCCGCCCUGCGGAAAGCAAGCUGAGGAGCUCUCACACGGCGCACCGCCCCUGAUCAGCAAAAGAAAUGGAUUAAAAGGAAAGAAACUCAACAUGACCGAACAAAAGCGAGAAAUAACUCAAACACUCACCCGCAGCGGGCCUACGGCCGUGCCUUUCCCAGAAGGCCGGCCAUGUGCGAAUCCCUGCUGUCUGAGGAAGUAUUCACCAAUGACGGACAGAGGAGCCGGUGGUGCCCUCUCAGCUGCAAACACAAGAUAAAGUCAAUACCCCUUAGAGCAAAGAACAAAAAAAAGAACAAACACGGAAGACAGGACCCGAUGGGUAGAGAAUUCACGUAUAUGGUUCCAAGUCUCUGGGAAUUCCCCAACAUUCCCCACCAAAUGCACGGUCCUGACGUAGAAAAAGUUCUCGUACGAAUGAGAGUCGACCGUAUCGUCUAGCUCAGCAGUCAAACCCCGAACCCCACGAGGGACCAUUUGAAUCAUGGUACCGUAGACCCUUUAAGGGGCGUAAGAGUCAGCACGUGCCGCAACGUUAUUUCCCUUCGCGCCAAUUUCGCAUACUUGGCAAGCCUGGCGAAGAGCUUGUUAAAGAAGGGGACGAGUUGCCCAGGGCACACUUCAUAGUAACAACAGAAAUCCGCUACCAGAGCCGGAAGGGGAAGCUUGAACCCUAGUCUGAAAGGGCAAGCGUAGAAAACGCAAUAUCCGGGGCGGUCGAUAUGAACUCUCUCCUCUCUCUUGGUGAGGGAGAUGUCGGCAGAACGAGGAAUACCCCACUGCUCCCUUAACUGGGCAAGGCCCACCUCACCCAUUAGUGGGGCCUCAUUAACCUGGUCCUCCCCCUCAUCGGCGGUGAAGUCGGUUGCCGGACCCCCUGGGCAGAGAAAGGAUAUCGACUGCCGACGGGAUCCUAUCGGCCUCCGCUGACUCUGUGGCCCUCGCCACCACAGAGGACCCAUCGACCGCCGGAAGAGUCAUCGGAGAAAGCUCUGUGUGAGAACUGCUUGCCAUUGCUGAUUACGGGGACAAUGAGCGAACGAGGUUCACCAAAGAAGGUACAAAAACAGAGAUUGAUUGAACGAAGACGAAGAACAACACGAGAUGAUGAAGAAAAAGAGUAAGAGAAGUUGCUUCUUUAGGAAUCUUACUUAGACAGAUACUGAAAAUUGGGAAACUUAUAACAUAAUUCAUUAUUUAUACUGCAAAUUGGCAUUCACGAAUUCCAAAAGCCACCAUUAACUGUGCAACCAACCGUAAAACGGUUCAAAUCCACAGAAACGAGUGUCAUAAUGACAAGUAUCACGAAACGGUUUUGCAACCGUCAAUCGACACUUCAUCUUCGAAGCAAGUUUGGCAAUCCGGGUACGUGGAACACCCAGUGUGCCUCCGUACAUCGAGCAUCGUUGCAGUGUACGUCCAGUGCACCCAUAACCGCAGAAGCCACCUGCGGGAAUACAUUGUCCCAAGUGAAAACAUCCUACGAACAUCUUCCUGAAAAAAAUAUAUAUAAAGGGCUAUGAUCAUCUUCCUAAAAAGUAGAAAUGGCUACGGCCAUCCCACUAAAAAUACCGAGGGCACAACUAUCCCCCAAGCGUAAACAGCUACGGCCAAUCCCCAAAUGUAAAAUGGCUACGACCAUUCUCCAGGUGCGUUGAUGGUUACAACCGUCUCAUAAAUAUAAGCGACCACGGACGCCUUCAAGGUACAAAACGACUACGAUCGUUCUCAGUAAAUACAAAUGGCUACGGCCAUCCUUCAAGUAUAAAAGGCUAUGGCCAUCUCCUAAAUACAAAUGGCUACGACCAUCCUUCAAGUAUAAAAGUGGCCACCGCCAUUCCUAAGUACGAAUAGACACAGCCUUCCUCCAAAUAUAAAUGGCUACGGUUGUCUCCGCCAUCCUUCAAGUAUAAAAGUGACCACGACCAUUCCUAAGUUCGAAUAGCCACGGCCUUCCUCCAAAUAUAAAUGGCUACGGCUCUCUCCUGAAUAUGAAUAGCUACGGCUAUUCUCCAAGUAUAAGAGGCCACGGCUGUUUCCUGAAAAUAUAAGUGGCAGCAACCAUUUCUUAAGUAUAAACAACUACGGCCACCCCAGGCUACAACCGGAACGACCUCCGAUCUCCUUUUCUUCGAACCUAUAUGAAUCGCGUACGGUAAAGUCAGCUCAUCGAGUUCGACUGGACCUCGACCUCAAUAAGCGGAGGGACUAACUGUAUGGGUCAAAACUCGGCUCGUGAUAAUUAAUGAGAUUAAUUCACUCAUAAGCAUAUUCGGGUUGAUUAAGGGCACAACCAUUCGUUAAUAAUAAGUGCAAAGAUCGCUCAGCCCAAUCAGCGAGGCUACGGCCUACUCGCUAUUGACAGACGUCCCCUCAAUAUGGCCGCGUCUGCCUAAUGCCAGUUGCCAAGAUUCACAACUAUAAAUACUAAGAGAAGGAACCCUAGAAGGGGGCCUGCUUUUUCUUCUUCACCUCUACUUUUCGAAAGAAGAGAGAAACCAUUGUAAGGCUCUGAACCUCUCCAUGAAGAGGCAGGCCAAAUCGAUACCUUUAAUAAAACAUCUUUUACCCUCCUCUCUUUAACAAAUUACAACUGUCUCUUGCAUUU
rnacentral:lncRNA from 1 species